UAUAGGGACUGUAAGCUCGUAAGCGAGAGCGCGCGAGAUUUGAAUACUUCCGGUGACAAACAAAAAUGGUGAUAUGUUUUGCAUUCGCUUGCAACCACCGGAGUGGGGCUAACAGCUGCAAGUUUCAUCGCUUUCCUACAGACGGAAAGAAGCGAUUGUUGUGGGGGAAACUAUGCAGAAGAGCUGAUCGCCAACCAGGAGAUCAGAAUGAUCGUAUCUGCUCCUGACAUUUCAAGGAUGGUGUGAAGGAGGGGGAUCCUGCAUUAUUUGCAUGGAAUGAAGGAAAGGCUAUGAAUUUCUCUGAUUCUGAAUGUACCAAAAGGAGGAAUAAAAUCAAAAGUGAGGAGUCUCUUUCAUCUUCACAGAUGGACCAGCUGCAGAUUACACAUGUGACAGAAUGUCAAGAUCAAGAAAAGGGAAAGCUCCUUUAAAACACCGUAGAUGACAAAGGGCCAACAUAAAAACAUUUUCAAUAAUUUUUAAUAAUAUAAUAGUUCUUUUAACUGUAGAUUGAAUUACUCAUGAUUCACAGUAUAUUUCAAUUGAUAUCAGAGCACAACUACUCAGCAUCCUGCACAUUUAACUGUACUCAAGAAAUGCAGCGUCUCUCAACAGAAAUAGAACACCUGGAAAAAGGAAUUACAUGCGUUAAGAUUAGAGUCGAGUAAAAGGAAGCCAAUGUCAAUUCCCGAUAUUAAAGACAAUGAAGAGAAGAUGCUUUUAUAUACAUCCCCACAGUAUGACAUAUUCGAAAUCUUAGUCAGAUUGUUACAACUGUUCGAACUCUAUUACUAUAAUGGCUGGACUCCUUCAAUGGAAAUAGAGAACCAACUCCU